rnacentral:lncRNA from 1 species
AUGUUAUAGCUGGGACCAUUUGGAUGACAAAUCAGAGGAAGAUUUUCAAAAACCUGCAUGACUCGCAUGGUGCUGAAGCACCUCCAGGUUGCCUUGAAGACCAGGAGGCGCUGGUAUGGUAGAGAACACCCUCUAGUGGUGGAGGUGGAGGAAUGCCUGGCAGACGUCUGGGCCGACACCAGUGCUGACACAGCAGGGUCCAGACCCCUCUCCCACCUCUCCACUAGGAGACUAAGCAGUGGGACUAGACCCAACACAGCCGUACCCCUCCACUCCCACCUGGCCUGGUACAGGGGCACCACACACACCACUCUGGACCCCUCCGUAAACAGUUCCCUGUCAGCCCCAUCCAACAAGACCCUCCACACACAGCCAGAACCAGAUUCAGAUCAGGAACCAGCCAAGAACCAAAACAAAAACCCCUGACAGAACCACCUGUCUUCUCCCAGGCCCUGGCCUGCCUUCCAGACCACAGUGUUCGGGCCACAGAGUGACAACAGAAACCUGAUCUCAGACCUCAAACCCAGACCUGCUUCAGCACCGGGCUUUCAUUCCAUAGACAGGACCGGAGUGCUGCAUUGGGCAGGCUGGUGCCACCUACCUGGCAGGUACGUGCUGGAGGAACGGACAGUCAUAACAUUGAAAAUAGAGAUUGGAUUCCCUCUGCACACACAGAGAAGCACACCACUGGUGAGACAGACAGGCCAGGGACAGGGAGGAGAGACCGUCUUAUUCUGCCAGGUGGCGCUAGAGACCAUACUCGCACCGUGACCACUGUUUUUCAUAUAGUCUUUGAACUGUUAUUGUUUAACCACUUUUGAUACCAACCCUAUUUUUGUUUGAGAUCUAUUAAAAUAUUUAUGUUUUGCAAUACGUUCUUCUGAU